rnacentral:rRNA from 1 species
CUGUGCUUAACACAUACAAGUCGAACGAUGAACCCCGCUUGCGGGAGGAUUAGUGGCGAACGGGUGAGUAACACGUGAGUAACCUGCCCUUAACUCUGGGAUAAGCCUUGGAAACGGGGUCUAAUACUGGAUAUUGACUUUUCCCCGCAUGGGGAAGGGUUGAAAGAUUUAUUGGUUUUGGAUGGACUCGCGGCCUAUCAGCUUGUUGGUGAGGUAAUGGCUCACCAAGGCGACGACGGGUAGCCGGCCUGAGAGGGUGACCGGCCACACUGGGACUGAGACACGGCCCAGACUCCUACGGGAGGCAGCAGUGGGGAAUAUUGCACAAUGGGCGAAAGCCUGAUGCAGCGACAGCCGCGUGAGGGAUGACGGCCUUCGGGUUGUAACCUCUUUCAGU